CUACGGGACGCAGCAGUGGGGAAUCUUGGACAAUGGGGGAAACCCUGAUCCAGCGAUGCCGUGUGUGUGAAGAAGGCCUGCGGGUUGUAAAGCACUUUAAGUGUGGAGGAAGUCUAUUGGGUGAAUAAUCUGAUAGAUUGACGUUACACACAGAAUAAGCACCGGCUAACUCUGUGCCAGCAGCCGCGGUAAUACAGAGGGUGCAAGCGUUAAUCGGAAUGACUGGGCGUAAAGGGCGCGUAGGCGGUUUUAUAGGUUGGAUGUGAAAUACCGGGGCUUAACCCCGGAUCGUCAUCUAAAACGAUGAAACUGGAGUCUAAUAGAGGGUAGUGGAAUUUCCGGUGUAGCGGUGAAAUGCGUAGAUAUCGGAAAGAACACCAGUGGCGAAGGCGGCUACCUGGAUUAGAACUGACGCUGAGGCGCGAAAGCGUGGGGAGCAAACAGGAUUAGAUACCCCCGUAGUC
rnacentral:rRNA from 1 species